rnacentral:rRNA from 1 species
ACGAACGCUGGCGGCGUGCCUAAUACAUGCAAGUAGAACGCUGAAGGAGGAGCUUGCUCUUCUGGAUGAGUUGCGAACGGGUGAGUAACGCGUAGGUAACCUGCCUGGUAGCGGGGGAUAACUAUUGGUAACGAUAGCUAAUACCGCAUAACAGUAGAUGUUGCAUGACAUUUACUUAAAAGGUGCAAUUGCAUCACUACCAGAUGGACCUGCGUUGUAUUAGCUAGUUGGUGGGGUAACGGCUCACCAAGGCGACGAUACAUAGCCGACCUGAGAGGGUGAUCGGCCACACUGGGACUGAGACACGGCCCAGACUCCUACGGGAGGCAGCAGUAGGGAAUCUUCGGCAAUGGACGGAAGUCUGACCGAGCAACGCCGCGUGAGUGAAGAAGGUUUUCGGAUCGUAAAGCUCUGUUGUAAGAGAAGAACGAGUGUGAGAGUGGAAAGUUCACACUGUGACGGUAUCUUACCAGAAAGGGACGGCUAACUACGUG